UCCACACACAGCCGCCCUGGGGCCCGCGGCGGGGUGUGGAGAGCAUUGCCGCCAGCUCAUUACCGACCUCAGAGCUAAACUCAUGUUCUCUUCGGACAGAGACGUUCCUCUCGAGAACGAUUUUAACCCCUACCCAAGGCAGCACGACUUCCACGAGCCGUUCAACAGACACCAACGACCUCCGCGGCCUCAAGCACCUCCCACAAGAGCACAGGCUCCGGACGGACGCACAGGCUCAGCGGCCAUGGUUCACGGGCCCAGCCGCUCCGCGCCAUGUGGGAUCUUCCCGGACCGGGGCAUGAACCUGUGUCGCCUGCAUCGGCAGGCAGACUCCCAACCACUGCGCCACCAGGGAAGCCCAAAACAGCAGAUGCAGCACUGCCAGAUGCAAGGAACUCGUCUUUGGCAGAAUGGAGAGACCUCAUUAAUGUGACCUGAGAACACGGUGUGGUCUCCAUGGUGAUUCUUACAGUUGAUUCUCAAGUACUUUUUAUAGUUUUGAUUCUGAGGUUAAAUUAAAGUGUUGCUGAAGAGACAUGAAAUAGAACCUCAGC